rnacentral:rRNA from 1 species
ACCCAAUGACGUCUCUAGAAGACAUCUGAAAGAGAUUAAAGAUUUAUCGGUGAUGGGAUGGGGGAUGCGUCUGAUUAGCUUGUUGGCGGGGUAACGGCCCACCAAGGCGACGAUCAGUAGGGGUUCUGAGAGGAAGGUCCCCCACAUUGGAACUGAGACACGGUCCAAACUCCUACGGGAGGCAGCAGUGAGGAAUAUUGGUCAAUGGGCGAGAGCCUGAACCAGCCAAGUAGCGUGCAGGAUGACGGCCCUAUGGGUUGUAAACUGCUUUUAUAAGGGAAUAAAGUGAGUCUCGUGAGGCUUUUUGCAUGUACCUUAUGAAUAAGGACCGGCUAAUUCCGUGCCAGCAGCCGCGGUAAUACGGAAGGUCCGGGCGUUAUCCGGAUUUAUUGGGUUUAAAGGGAGCGUAGGCCGGAGAUUAAGCGUGUUGUGAAAUGUAGACGCUCAACGUCUGCACUGCAGCGCGAACUGGUUUCCUUGAGUACGCACAAAGUGGGCGGAAUUCGUGGUGUAGCGGUGAAAUGCUUAGAUAUCACGAAGAACUCCGAUUGCGAAGGCAGCUCACUGGAGCGCAACUGACGCUGAAGCUCGAAAGUGCGGGUAUCGAACAGGAUUAGAUACCCU